GACGAACGCUGGCGGCGUGCCUAAUACAUGCAAGUUGAGCGCUGAAGGUUGGUACUUGUACCAACUGGAUGAGCAGCGAACGGGUGAGUAACGCGUGGGGAAUCUGCCUUUGAGCGGGGGACAACAUUUGGAAACGAAUGCUAAUACCGCAUAAAAACUUUAAACACAAGUUUUAAGUUUGAAAGAUGCAAUUGCAUCACUCAAAGAUGAUCCCGCGUUGUAUUAGCUAGUUGGUGAGGUAAAGGCUCACCAAGGCGAUGAUACAUAGCCGACCUGAGAGGGUGAUCGGCCACAUUGGGACUGAGACACGGCCCAAACUCCUACGGGAGGCAGCAGGAGGGAAUCUUCGGCAAUGGACGAAAGUCUGACCGAGCAACGCCGCGGGAGUGAAGAAGGUUUUCGGAUCGUAAAACUCUGUUGGUAGAGAAGAACGUUGGUGAGAGUGGAAAGCUCAUCAAGUGACGGUAACUACCCAGAAAGGGACGGCUAACUACGUG
rnacentral:rRNA from 1 species